ensembl:scaRNA
CUUCACCGGAGGGAGAGCGGGCUGGAAGUUAGGUUACUGUGAAUUGCUGUGUGGUGUUGUGUGUAUGGGGGGUGGGGGGCGGCGCGUGUAGGCCGAGUGUGUGAGUGGACGCGUGAAUGUGUGAGUGGAUGAGUUAAUGUGUGAGUGCGUGUGCCUGCCCAUGCGCCUCCUCCCCCGGCCUACACGUUGAUCUUAUUUGAUCGGGUUGUGACUCCAACCCCGCCGGGCCGACCCGAAAUGAAAAGCUUCCCUCCUGCGAAGCCCUUCCUCGGGGCGCUGUGCAGCGAGGCCCCUUGGGCGGUGGCAACGCCGUGGCCCCGGAGGUUCCGGAGCCGGUCCUAUGGUGCCCGGCGCUCAGAAGUGAUGAAUUGAUCAGAUAGACGAGGCCGGUCUUGUCCCGCGCCAUUGAUUAUCGAGGCGAUUCUGAUCUGA